AUUCAACAUGUGGUUCUGUAUUAAUUUGCAUUUCUACCGUCUUAUUACCUUUAUUAUCAAACGAAUACAAAGUCAAUCAUCCUCUUCUUCUCACAUUCUUCAAGCUUCAAAUUGAUUUUACUACCUGAUUCUCAUGCACAAGCGUCAAAUUGAUAAAGUCAUAUGGCGCCAAGAUUAAAUAUUGAAGGAAUAACCAUUGACACUCUCGAUUGGACUUGCAAACUCCAAGUUGUUGACAAGAGUCGUGGAAGACUAAGUUUGGACUAGAAAUUCCGAUUCCAAAAUCUGAUUUUGGAAGACGAGCAGGAACAACAAAUCAGGGUAGUUGUAUAUGGUGAUGAUUGAGUAUUAUGCAAAGAAGCUAAAACUGUUGAAUACAUAGGUAAUCUCUACUGCCAGAGUCAAAGUUUCACUACCUUUGUACGGAAGGAUAAUACAUAAAUUCUAUUGGGUGCUUGAUAAGAAAACUCUGAUCGAACAUAUCCAACAAAAUAACCAGCUUGAGAAACCGUUUUUAGCAACGACCAAAUUAGUUACCACAAUGUUUGCCAAUAUUGCUCAACUGACUCCUACUCCUAAUGCAGAAAUUGAUCUUGUAGGAGUUGUUCUUCGUUGUGGCCCUUUAAUAUGCAGGUCACACUGAAAAUAGGUGUCGUGAGGUUACUGUUUCUGAUGAUCAAAGACAGCAAUUUCUGCAUACUUUAUGGGACGACUUUGGAAAAUAGAAGGAGCUGAAUUGGAAGCUCAAAUGGGAAAGCGUAAAGAAUUCCCUGUGAUCCUUGCAAGGAACAUUGGAAUUUCUAGUCAAGGGAAACGACAAACAAAGACGUUCUUUUGGGAAAUGUGUUGGGUAACUUUGCAGGAUCAUCCAUUGCUUUUAACGUGAAUCCUGAUCACCAGCGAGUCGUUUCUGUUGCAGAACUUGCAAAAAUAGCUUCAGUUGGAGUUUUCCACAUCGAGGCCAAAAUGUCAAUAUCAUAUGAUCUUCAAAAGUUUUACGUCCUAGAAUGUUCAGGUUGCAAACAGAAAAAAUGCACAAAAGAGAAGAAGCAGUUUGAUUGCGCAAAAUAUCAAAGAUAGACAAACAUUGGUGCCUCGGUGUACCUUCAAAAUUUAUCUGAUUGAUGGCAGUGGUUCAACAACUGCCAUCAUUUCUGGUGAUCCGGCUGAAAAACUUCUCAACCUGAAGGCAGAGAACAUAUUUGACACAAUAUGCGUCAAGUUUACCUCUUACUUAUAUUUCUUGCUCUCUCUGUUUAUAUAUGUUUAUUAAUAUCCUUCAGCAAAUGAUUUCUUUCGUUUUCAGAAACAACUUCUGAGUGUUAAUUAGACACAACAAAUGUUGUCGAAGAAACUAUUUCACAUUCAAGUGAAAAAGUCAUACUGGAUAAACUUUAAUGUUACUCAGUCAAGUGUGACAGUUCUGUCCUACACGGAAAAAGAACAUGUGUCUCUGCCAGGCGCUAGUGACAGUGACAACAACAUGAACAUUAAAAAGGCCAAAUUGUUUGAUGUUAGCGAGGUAGAGAUGAAAGCGUCAUUUGUUGAAUCUAAAUCUUCCAUCAGUGGUGCCUCAAUUGAACCACCCACACCAAUGAAGAAGCUGUGAAAGGAAGUAUGCUCCUUAUUUUGGUACCUUUGGGCUACUAAAAAACAAAAACAUUUGGGAUGCUCAAUCUGCACAACCUCAGUUGCUAUGAAGGUCCUGUUAUAAAAAGUUACGGAGAAGGAAGUGACAAAGAUGGUACUCAACUUUUUCAACCUUUUGGGCUGCCUCAGGGAUUCAGAUUUUGCGUCAAAUGGAUAUGCCACAGUCAGUUGGGUAUGUUGUAUUGCACCUUCAUCUAAGUAAAUGUUCAUUAUUAACAUAAGUUCACCAUAAAACUAUCACCUUUGGUUGUAAAUUUGUGUAUUACUGUAGUAUAUGUAGUAUCUCUCUCACUUCCUUUCCAAUAUCUAUACCAUUUAACUUUUCGGUACUUUGACAUCUUGCUGUUCCAUAAAUACUGUGACUGGAGAAGCUUGUGUGGACUUCAAUUGUGCCAUGUUGUUGUUCUGGACUAUGAUACCAUCAUCUUGUAACUAAAAACUCCUAACACUA